rnacentral:rRNA from 1 species
AGUUUGAUCCUGGCUUAGGAUGAACCCUUGAGCCUGGCGUAACACAUGCCCUUCGUGGGGCAUCACAGGAACCUCUACUGGGCGGCGACCGGCCCACGGGUGCGGAACACGUGCGCACCCUUCCUUUAAACGUAUAAUAGCCGGGCGAAAGCCGGAUUAUUACUCCGUAACAUUGUGGUGUGGCAUCACACUACAAUUAUAGCUCCGGCGCUUAAAGAUGGGCGUGCGCCUGAUUAGGUAGUUGGCGGGGUAACGGCCUGUCACCCCUUCUAUCAGUAACUGGUGUGAGAGCACGACCGGUCACACGGGCCUUGACACACGGGCCCCACUCCUACGGGCGGAAGCCCUAAGGAAUAUUGGUCGUGGGACGCAAGUCGGAACCAGCCAUGCCGCGUGGAGGAUGAAGGCCCUCUGGGUUGUAAACUUCUUUUAUCUGGGAAGAAACCUCAGUUUUCUAAUUGAGCCGACGGUGCCAGAUGAAUAAGCACAGGCUAACUCCGUGCCACCGGCCGCGGUAAUACGGAGGGUGCAAGCGGUUAUGCUCGNAUUCACUGGGUUUAAAGGGUGCGCUAGGUGGGUCUUUAAGUCAGUGGUGAAAUCUCUGGGCUUCAACUCGGAGACUGCCUUUGAUACUAUCGAUCUUGAAUAUCGCGUAGGUGAGCGGAAUAUGUCGUGUAGCGGUGAAAUGCUUAGAUAUGACAUAAAACACUAAUCGCGAAGGCAGCUUACUUCUCGAUCAUUGACACUGAGGCACGAAAGCGUGGGGAGCAAACAGGAUUAGAUACCCUGGUAGUCCACGCCCUAAACGAUGGAUACUCGACAUUAGCGAUACAGUGUUAGUGUCUGACCGAAAGCAUUAAGUAUCCUACCUGGGAAGUACAACCGCGAGGUUGAAACUCAAAGGAAUUGUGGGGGGUCCGCACAUCACGGUGGAGCAUGUGGUUUAAUUCUAUGAUCCGUGAGGAACCUUACCUGGGCCAUUGAAUGCAGUCUUGACUGUGGGUGAAAGCUCAUUUUGUAUCAAUUCACAUAUUGUAAGGUGCUGCGUGGCUGUCGUCAGCUUGUGCCGUGAGGUGUCUGGGUUAAGUCGCGUACCGAGCGCAACGCACCAUCAUUAGUUUCCAUCAUGUCAAUGCUGGUAACUACUCAUGAAACUGCCGUCGUAGGAGACGUGUUGAAGGAGGGGAUGAUGUACAAGUCAUCAUGGGCCUUUAUGCCCAGGGCCUACACACUUGUCUAGCAAUGGGAAGGACAAGAGGGCUGGCACUUUGACGGCAACAAGGAGCUAAUUCCAACAACCUUUUCUCAGUUCAUAUUGGAGUCUGCAACUAGACUCCUUGAAGCUGGUAUCGCUAGUUAUCGUAUUUCAGCAAUGAUCCGGUGAAUACGUUCUUCGGACGUUGCUCACACCGCCCGUCAAGCCAUUGAAGCCGGGUGGUUCUUAAAGUACGGUGACCGCAAUGAGCCGCCUACGAGGUAAAACUGGGGAUUGGGUCUAAGUCGUAACAAGGUAGC